rnacentral:rRNA from 1 species
CCGUAACUAUAACGGUCCUAAGGUAGCGAAAUUCCUUGUCGGGUAAGUUCCGACCCGCACGAAAGGCGUAAUGAUUUGAGCGCUGUCUCGACAAUGCAUCCGGUGAAAUUGAAGUACCAGUGAAGAUGCUGGUUACCUGCGCCAGGACGGAAAGACCCCAUGGAGCUUUACUCCAGCUUGAUACUGGGAUUCGGUAUUGCAUGUACAGGAUAGGUGGGAGGCUAAGAACUCAUGGCGCCAGCCGUGAGGGAGCCGAUGUUGGGAUACCACCCCUGCAGUACUGGGUUUCUAACCUGCGCCCGUGACCCGGGCGGGGGACAAUGUCAGGCGGGGAGUUUGACUGGGGCGGUCGCCUCCGAAAGGGUAUCGGAGGCGCUCAAAGGUUCCCUCAGAAUGGUCGGAAACCAUUCGAAGAGUGCAAAGGCAGAAGGGAGCUUGACUGCGACACCGACGGGUGGAGCAGGUACGAAAGUAGGACUUAGUGAUCCGGUGGUAUAAAGUGGGAUUGCCAUCGCUCAACGGAUAAAAGCUACCCUGGGAUAACAGGCUUAUCACUCCCAAGAGUUCACAUCGACGGAGUGGUUUGGCACCUCGAUGUCGGCUCAUCGCAUCCUGGGGCUGUAGUAGGUCCCAAGGGUUGGGCUGUUCGCCCAUUAAAGCGGUACGCGAGCUGGGUUCAGAACGUCGUGAGACAGUUCGGUCCCUAUCCGUCGCGGGCGCAGGAAAUUUGAGAGGAGCUGUCCUUAGUACGAGAGGACCGGGAUGGACGCACCGCUGGUGUACCAGUUGUUCUGCCAAGGGCAUCGCUGGGUAGCUAUGUGCGGACGGGAUAAGUGCUGAAAGCAUCUAAGCAUGAAGCCCCCCUCAAGAUGAGAUUUCCCAUUCCGCAAGGAAGUAAGAUCCCUGAAAGAUGAUCAGGUUGAUAGGUCUGAGGUGGAAGUGUGGCGACACAUGGAGCUGACAGAUACUAAUCGAUCGAGG